GUCGAGGGGUAACAGGAAGUGCUUGCACUUCGCUGACGACCGGCGCACGGGUGAGUAUCGCGUACACAAUCUGCCUCAUACUAGGGAAUAGCCCGAAGAAAUUUGGAUUAAUGCCCUAUAGCAUCUUUUUAAGGCAUCUUAUUAAGAUUAAAGGUUACGGUAUGAGAUGAGUAUGCGUUCUAUUAGCUAGUAGGUGUGGUAACGGCACACCUAGGCUACGAUAGAUAGGGGCCCUGAGAGGGGGAUCCCCCACACUGGUACUGAGACACGGACCAGACUCCUACGGGAGGCAGCAGUAAGGAAUAUUGGACAAUGGGCGAAAGCCUGCUCCAGCCAUGCCGCGUGCAGGAUGACUGCCCUAUGGGUUGUAAACUGCUUUUAUAUAGGAAGAAAAAUUUUCUCGUGAGAAAACUUGACGGUACUAUAAGAAUAAGGAUCGGCUAACUCCGUGCCAGCAGCCGCGGUAAUACGGAGGAUCCAAGCGUUAUCCGGAAUCAUUGGGUUUAAAGGGUCCGUAGGUGGACAAAUAAGUCAGAGGUGAAAUCCUGCAGCUCAACUGUAGAACUGCCUUUGAUACUGUUUGUCUUGAGUUAUUAUGAAGUGGUUAGAAUGUGUAGUGUAGCGGUGAAAUGCAUAGAUAUUACACAGAAUACCGAUUACGAAGGCAGAUCACUAAUAAUUAACUGACACUGAGGGGCGAAAGCGUGGGUAGCGAACAGGAUUAGAUACCCUGGUAGUCCACGCCGUAAACGAUGGUCACUAGCUGUUUGGACUUCGGUCUGAGUGGCUAAGCGAAAGUGAUAAGUGACCCACCUGGGGAGUACGUUCGCAAGAAUGAAACUCAAAGGAAUUGACGGGGGCCCGCACAAGCGGUGAGCAUGUGUUUAAUUCGAUGAUACGCGAGGAACCUUACCAGGGCUUAAAUGUUAGGUGACAGAUCUAGAAUAGAUUUUUCUUCGGACACUUACAGGUGCUGCAUGAUUGUCGUCAGCUCGUGCCGUGAGUGUCAGUAGUCUAUACGAGCGCACCCCUGUGUAGUGCAGCGAGUAUGUCGGGACUCUAGCAGACUGCAGUGCAACUGUGAGAAAGGUGGGAUGACGUCAAUCAUCACGGCUACGUCUGGGCGUAACACUGGCUACAUGCCGUAAAAAGAGCGUUCAUUCCGGGAGAGAGAGCGAUCUAUUAGCCGGCCUCAGAUUUUCGGAAACCCAC
rnacentral:rRNA from 1 species